UGACUCUGGGAUAAGCGCUGGAAACGGCGUCUAAUACUGGAUACGAACCACGAAGGCAUCUUCAGUGGUUGGAAAGAUUUAUUGGUUGGGGAUGGGCUCGCGGCCUAUCAGCUUGUUGGUGAGGUAAUGGCUCACCAAGGCGUCGACGGGUAGCCGGCCUGAGAGGGUGACCGGCCACACUGGGACUGAGACACGGCCCAGACUCCUACGGGAGGCAGCAGUGGGGAAUAUUGCACAAUGGGCGCAAGCCUGAUGCAGCAACGCCGCGUGAGGGAUGACGGCCUUCGGGUUGUAAACCUCUUUUAGCAGGGAAGUAAGCGAAAGUGACGGUACCUGCAGAAAAAGCGCCGGCUAACUACGUG
rnacentral:rRNA from 1 species